rnacentral:rRNA from 1 species
CCUACGGGUGGCAGCAGUAGGGAAUAUUGCACAAUGGGGGAAACCCUGAAGCAGCGACGCCGCGUGGAGGACGAAGUACUUCGGUUUGUAAACUUCUAUUGUGAGGGAAGAUAAUGACGGUCUCUCAGUAAGAAGCACCGGCUAACUCCGUGCCAGCAGCCGCGGUAAUACGGAGGGGGCAAGCGUUAUCCGGAAUCACUGGGCGUAAGGGGUGCGUAGACGGGUGUGUAAGUCGGAAGUGAAAGCCUGUGGCGUAACUCCUGAACUGCAUUUGAAACUGUAAGGCUGGAGUGUGGGAGAGGUAAGUGGAAUUCUUGGUGUAGCGGUGAAAUGCGUAGAUAUUAAGAGGAAUACCAGUUGCGAAGGCGGCUUACUGGACUGUAACUGACGUUGAGGCACGAAAGCGUGGGGAGCAAACAGGAUUAGAUACCCCUGUAGUC